GUUCCAACUUCUGAUAUGAGAGAGGGUAUUUUUAAGAUGAAAGGUGGUCAUGCUUAUGAGAAAUUAGGUUCUGGUUUAUCCAUUGGAUCAGCGAUAGGUGAUAAGACUAUGAAGAAAAGAAUGGUAGAUGAACGCAGGAAGGAUAGUACUGCAGCGGGGAUGGCUAAUCGGAUUCCAACCAUAGCUGGUCUACCUGGAUCUAGGAAGGAGGUUCCUGAGGCAGGAAAAGCAAACUCCCUUAAUCGGAGAACUGGUAGGGCGCAACAGAAGACUCGUGAUAUGUUGAUGAUGAAGGGAAAACAGACAAUUCUAAAACAACUUGAUGGUUGAAGACUCAUAAUGCCCCUAGUGGCUGCGUAGAGCUUGAUCCCGUUGCCAUGCCUUUGGAACUUCUUCAGGUCUUAACUGAAUCUCA
rnacentral:lncRNA from 1 species